AGACCCACUUUCUGUGAUUCCCAUAUUCGACAUGAGCGAUGUCUUCGUAAUUGAUCGCCAAGCAAAAGCAAGCUUAUCGAAAGUAUAUGAACAUGUUAAAUAUAUGGUUAAAGAGCUUCCUAAAGAAAUGUGCACCUUGUUAUCAAGAUUAUAUGACGACGUCGAUUCGAAGCUAAACAAUCAGCUCAGUGCACUUUCAGAAAAAUGCACAAUAGUUGUUGCAGGCAAAUCAAACCCAGGUAUGAACAGUUUUAUGAAAACUAUAUUGGGAAGCGAUGUAAUUCCUAACCCGCGUG